GACGAACGCUGGCGGCGUGCUUAACACAUGCAAGUCGAACGGAAAGGCCCUGCUUUUGUGGGGUGCUCGAGUGGCGAACGGGUGAGUAACACGUGAGUAACCUGCCCUUGACUUUGGGAUAACUUCAGGAAACUGGGGCUAAUACCGGAUAGGAGCUCCUGCUGCAUGGUGGGGGUUGGAAAGUUUCGGCGGUUGGGGAUGGACUCGCGGCUUAUCAGCUUGUUGGUGGGGUAGUGGCUUACCAAGGCUUUGACGGGUAGCCGGCCUGAGAGGGUGACCGGCCACAUUGGGACUGAGAUACGGCCCAGACUCCUACGGGAGGCAGCAGUGGGGAAUAUUGCACAAUGGGCGGAAGCCUGAUGCAGCAACGCCGCGUGCGGGAUGACGGCCUUCGGGUUGUAAACCGAUUUCGACUGUGACGAAGCGUGAGUGACGGUAAUGGGUAAAGAAGCAACGGCUAACUACGUG
rnacentral:rRNA from 1 species